UACGGGGGGGGGCAAGCGUUGUUCGGAAUUACUGGGCGUAAAGGGCUCGUAGGCGGCCAACUAAGUCAGACGUGAAAUCCCUCGGCUUAACCGGGGAACUGCAUCUGAUACUGGAUGGCUUGAGUUCGGGAGAGGGAUGCGGAAUUCCGGGUGUAGCGGUGGAAUGCGUAGAGAUCCGGAAGAACACCGGUGGCGAAGGCGGUUAGCUGGGCAGUUGCUGACACUGAGGCGCGACAGCGUGGGGAGCAAACAGGG
rnacentral:rRNA from 1 species